UCGCAACGACAGUAUUUCCGCAGACGCCGCGAACUUCACAGCAACAUUUCCUUGGUGUACAUCCUUUGUCAUUUUCUUCAGUGGGUUGGACAGAGAGGAACAGCCGUCGAGGAGUAUCAACAGUUUACGAAUUUGAUUUGUAUCAGGUGUUAGAAGGGAGAAAAUUUGUCACAACGACAGUAUUUCCGCAGACGCCGCGAACUUCACAGCAACAUUUCCUUGGUGUACUCUUUUCGUCAUUUUGAUCAAUGGAUUUGACAAAGACGAACAGCCGUCGAGGAGUAUCAACAGUUUACGAUUUCGAUUUGUAUCAGAUUUGGUGAAAGAAUGGAGGAUGAAGUAGCAAUUAAUUUCAGUAGUGAUAGGUUGUGAACAUGAAUUUACGAUGACUAUCGAGUAAUUCGGAAAAAUUAAACCUACGCGACAAAUGGAUAAAGGAUGUACAACAACGACUGGUCCUAUCAGGUGUUAGAAGGGAGAAAAUUUGUCGCAACGACAGUAUUUCCACAGACGCCGCGAACUUCACAGCAACAUUUCCUUGGUGUACUCUCUUCGUCAUUUUGAUCAAUGGAUUUGAUAAAGACGAACAGCCGUCGAGGAGUGUCGAUUUCGAAUUGGUGAAAGAAUAGAAGAUGAACCACCAAUUAAAUUCAGUUGUGAUUGGUUAUGGACAUAAAUUUACGACGACUAACGGGUAAUUUGGAAAAAUAAGAGAUAAGCGAAAAAUGGACAAGAAAUAUACAACAACUGAUCUAUCAAGGAAGAAACGACUCUCAGGUAUUCUCAUUAUUGUCUAUUGUUAAUUUAGAUAUCACAAUAUUUGAGAAGAAGAAUUUUGAAAAUAUCCAAAUUUUUGUAAAAUUUCAAGCUAAAAAUAGUACACUUAUU